UACGUAGGGCGCAAGCGUUGUCCGGAAUUAUUGGGCGUAAAGAGCUCGUAGGCGGUUUGUCGCGUCUGCUGUGAAAACCCGCGGCUCAACUGCGGGCCUGCAGCCGAUACGGGCAGGCUAGAGUUCGGUAGGGGAGACUGGAAUUCCUGGUGUAGCGGUGAAAUGCGCAGAUAUCAGGAGGAACACCGGUGGCGAAGGCGGGUCUCUGGGCCGAUACUGACGCUGAGGAGCGAAAGCGUGGGGAGCGAACAGG
rnacentral:rRNA from 1 species